GAUGAAGAACGUAGCGAAAUGCGAUAAGUAAUGUGAAUUGCAGAAUUCCGUGAAUCAUCGAAUCUUUGAACGCACAUUGCGCCCCCUGGUAUUCCGGGGGGCAUGCCUGUCCGAGCGUCAUUGCAACCUUCAAGCGCGGCUUGUGUGUUGGGUCUCGUCCCCCGUGGACGGCCCCGAAAGGCAGUGGCGGCGUCCCGACAUGGUGCCCGAGCGUAUGGGAAUCCUCUUCCGCUCGAAUCGGCCCAUGCGGCGCUGGUCGUAACCAAAUUUUUUACCGGUUGACCUCGGAUCAGGUAGGGAUACCCGCUGAACUUAAGCAUAUCAAUAAGCGGAGGA
rnacentral:misc_RNA from 1 species